GAUGAAGAACGCAGUGAAAUGCGAUACGUAAUGUGAAUUGCAGAAUUCAGUGAAUCAUCGAGUCUUUGAACGCACAUUGCGCCCCCUGGUAUUCCGGGGGGCAUGCCUGUCCGAGCGUCAUUGCUGCCCUCAAGCACGGCUUGUGUGUUGGGCCUCCGUCCUCCUCCCGGGGGACGGCCCGAAAGGCAGCGGCGGCACCGCGUCCGGUCCUCGAGCGUAUGGGGCUUCGUCACCCGCUCUUGUAGGCCCGGCCGGCGCUUGCCGACACAUCAAUCUUUUUUCCAGGUUGACCUCGGAUCAGGUAGGGAUACCCGCUGAACUUAAGCAUAUCAAUAAGCGGAGGA
rnacentral:misc_RNA from 1 species